rnacentral:sRNA from 1 species
CGACACCGUCCAGCAAAACGUGAAGCGUGUACUGGGUCCAUAGCAACGAAAGGCUGAACAACCAGUUUAUGUAUAAAAUACUUUGAUGCGAACAGUCUUACGCGUAUUCACGCCGUCCAUCAAAAAUGUCGUCAACUUUUAGCGCUCCUGGUCGGCCAAAUUAUGUGAAGUUGUCAGCUGUGAAAGAGGGGAUGUACCACCCCAAAAUACCAACAUUUCGUCGCAUGGACAUGGACACUGCAGCACAUAAAUUACCAGAAGAACAUUGUCGAACUACGACUACAUGUGGACCCGGAGAUUUCAAGAAUGCGAACAUCACAUUGUUUCGAUCCCCUGCCAGAUCACUGUCAUGUACGAGGAUUACAGAAACUGGACGCUCGUUGAGGGAGAUAUAUCCACCUUCAAAUUUUCAACUAAG